AAGAGAAAUUUAAGAAGCUGCUAACUAUCUUUAAAACAUCAAAAUGUUAUUCUCUUA
rnacentral:tRNA from 1 species